rnacentral:rRNA from 1 species
UACGUAGGUGGCAAGCGUUGUUCGGAAUUAUUGGGCGUAAAGGGCGCGUAGGCGGCCUGUUAAGUCGGCUGUGAAAACCCGGGGCUCAACUCCGGGCCUGCAGUCGAUACGGGCAGACUAGAGUUCGGUAGGGGAGACUGGAAUUCCUGGUGUAGCGGUGAAAUGCGCAGAUAUCAGGAGGAACACCGGUGGCGAAGGCGGGUCUCUGGGCCGAAACUGACGCUGAGGAGCGAAAGCGUGGGGAGCGAACAGG